rnacentral:rRNA from 1 species
AUUGGGCGUAAGCGCGCGCAGGUGGUUUCUUAAGUCUGAUGUGAAAGCCCACGGCUCAACCGUGGAGGGUCAUUGGAAACUGGGAGACUUGAGUGCAGAAGAGGAAAGUGGAAUUCCAUGUGUAGCGGUGAAAUGCGUAGAGAUAUGGAGGAACACCAGUGGCGAAGGCGACUUUCUGGUCUGUAACUGACACUGAGGCGCGAAAGCGUGGGGAGCAAACAGGAUUAUAUACCCUGGUAGUCCACGCCGUAAACGAUGAGUGCUAAGUGUUAGAGGGUUUCCGCCCUUUACUGCUGAAGUUAACGCAUUAAACACUCCGCCUGGGGAG